UCUGGCGUCUUUGGCGUCCGAGUUGUAAUUUGAAGAAGGUAUCUUUGGGCCCGGCUCUUGUCUAUGUUCCUUGGAACAGGACGUCACAGAGGGUGAGAAUCCCGUGCGAUGAGAUGACCCGGGUCUGUGUAAAGUUCCUUCGACGAGUCGAGUUGUUUGGGAAUGCAGCUCUAAGUGGGUGGUAAAUUCCAUCUAAAGCUAAAUAUUGGCGAGAGACCGAUAGCGAACAAGUACAGUGAUGGAAAGAUGAAAAGAACUUUGAAAAGAGAGUGAAAAAGUACGUGAAAUUGUUGAAAGGGAAGGGCUUGAGAUCAGACUUGGUAUUUUGCAUGCUGCUCUCUCGGGGGCGGCCGCUGCGGUUUACCGGGCCAGCAUCGGUUUGGAGCGGCAGGAUAAUGGCGGAGGAAUGUGGCACGGCUUCUGCUGUGUGUUAUAGCCUCUGACGAUACUGCCAGCCUAGACCGAGGACUGCGGUUUUUACCUAGGAUGUUGGCAUAAUGAUCUUAAGUCGCCCGUCUUGAAACACGGA
rnacentral:rRNA from 1 species